rnacentral:rRNA from 1 species
AUGCCACCGGAUAGAGACAUUGAGUUCUUAGUUGAACUACUGCCAGGCACAGGGCCGAUAUCCAAGAGACCGUAUAGGAUGCCAGCCCAAGAUUUGGAGGAAAUUAAGAAGCAGAUUAAGGAGCUGUUGGACAAAGGUUUUAUUCGCCCAAGUUCUUCGCCUUGGGGAUCGCCAGUACUUCUGGUGGAGAAGAAGGAUGGAUCGUUAAGAAUGGUUGUUGAUUAUCGCGGAUUGAAUGAAGUAACAAUCAAGAACAAGUACCCACUACCAAUGAUCAAUGAUCUGUUUGAUCGGUUGCAAGGAGCUAAGGUGUUUUCCAAGAUCGAUUUGCGAUCAGGAUACCAUCAGUUGAAGAUUCGGGAGCAGGAUAUACCGAAGACGGCUUUUACCACCAGGUACGGGCUGUAUGAGUAUACCAUUAUGUCAUUUGGUCUGACUAAUGCCCCAGCCUAUUUUAUGAACAUGAUGAACAAGGUGUUUAUGGAGUUUUUGGAUAAGUUCGUCGUGGUGUUCAUUGAUGAUAUUUUGGUGUACUCGAAGAAUGAAGAGGAACAUAAGGAACACUUGCGUAUGGUACUCGAGAAGCUCAGAGAACAUCAGCUAUACGCCAAGUUCAGCAAGUGUGAGUUUUGGCUGGAGGAAGUUGGAUUUCUCGGACAUGUUAUAUCCGGAGAAGGUAUCGUAGUAGACCCCACUAAAGUUGUCACUGUAACAAAUUGGGAAGCUCCAACAAUAGUUGGAGAAAUCUGGAGUUUCCUUGGACUCGCAGGAUACUACCGGAGAUUCAUUGAAAAUUUCUCGAAUAUUGUGAAGCCUAUGAUAGAGUUGUUGAAGAAGGAUACUAAGUUCAUUUGGACUGAGGAGUGUGAGGCUAGUUUCCAGGAAUUGAAGAAACGUUUGGUUACCUCACCAGUAUUAAUUGUGCCAGAUCAGACUAAGGAUUAUGAAGUGUAUUGCAACGCUUCACGUCGAGGACUUGGAGCAGUGCUUAUGCAGGAGGGAAGAGUUGUUUCGUAUGCUUCACAAUAG